rnacentral:rRNA from 1 species
UACGUAGGGGGCAAGCGUUGUUCGGAAUUACUGGGCGUAAAGCGCACGUAGGUGGUACGGCAAGUGGUGUGUGACAGCAGCCGGCUUAACCGGUUGACGCCACGCCAAACUGCCGCACUCGAGGGAUGCAGAGGUUGGUGGAAUUGCCGGUGUAGCAGUGAAAUGCGUAGAUACCGGCAGGAACACCGCAGGGGAAGCCAGCCAACUGGGCAUUACCUGACACUGAGGUGCGACAGCGUGGGGAGCGAACUGG